CCCAAACUGAGCUGCAGCGGCCAUCUUCUUCCAAGACCAGCAACUUCACUUCUACGGGAAAAUGACUAUUCAUUGGUAUUUGGCGUAAUCUCAGACCUAGAGGGGCGAGAAUAACGGCCUGAAGGUGCUUCAGUACGGGACGACGGACAAGACGGGUUGCUCACAAUGGCCUAGUGUGCCCUGUAGUGAACAGGCGAGGGCAGCUCUUUGCACGGCUGAUCGGCACUUUCCCUUACAAGCCGCCUGACCCAGACUCGGAGCUGCCGUCGGCCAGCCUGCCAUCCGCACGAGAGGCCCCGCUGCUCUUCUCCGCGUCAAAAGCAGCGUAGUACGUGGGAAGCACUGAGGGUCCGAGGCUCAGUUCUUGCUGGUAGACCCCUGACUCCUUCCCGCAGGAGAAAUGGAGCCUCAGGGGCUGCUGGAUAUAGAGGGUGAUGCAAGGAUGCUGGGGCUGCUGGUUCCCAGUCCACAGAGUGAGACAGUGACCCACGAGCUGGAGGAACUGUCGCUGCAGUCCACCCAGAACCUGCCAACCCUCAACGAACGCA